UAUCCGCUGCUGACGAGAAAGGUUGGUGCUUGGCCUGUGCGCGUCGUGUGCCUGUGUGAAAACAAGCCUUUAGAUCAAAACUAAUACAAGCAAACGCACAAUGAAACUAAUAACGGUAUUCUAAAA